rnacentral:rRNA from 1 species
CAGCCGCCACGGUAAUACGGAGGGUGCAAGCGUUAAUCGGAAUUACUGGGCGUAAAGCGCACGCAGGCGGUCUGUCAAGUCAGAUGUGAAAUCCCCGGGCUUAACCUGGGAACUGCAUUUGAAACUGGCAGGCUAGAGUCUUGUAGAGGGGGGUAGAAUUCCAGGUGUAGCGGUGAAAUGCGUAGAGAUCUGGAGGAAUACCGGUGGCGAAGGCGGCCCCCUGGACAAAGACUGACGCUCAGGUGCGAAAGCGUGGGGAGCAAACAGGAUUAGAUACCCCGGUAGUCCCUGUCUCUUAUAC